AAAGAAAGCUGUGAAAACAGUGAAGAAAAAAGACAAAGGAAAAUCUGAGGAUUCAGAAAAGAAGAUGUCUCCAGAAAAAGAGUUUAAAAUAAAAGAAGAUUUGGAUCAAGUACAGGUAACACACCCACUCUCUCUAUGCAUCAAUAUUUGAUUAAUACUUGCUCUGAUAGUCAUAUAUGGAGAAACAUUAUUACGUAUGUGAUUAUAGGGUAUAUAUGUCUGUGUGUGUGUAUGUGUCUCUGUGUGUGUGU
rnacentral:sRNA from 1 species